ACUGGCUGGGCCCAGGCCUUGAAGCGGUGGCGAACGUCUCUUCCCUACCCUACCUCGGUGACUGAUGGCGGCGGCGGCCUCUCCCAGUCCGGACCCUGCCGGCCGUCGGGUCUCCCGGCCCAAGCCUGCCGGGCCUGGACGAAACCCCCGCCGAGCAGCCUGGACGCAGCGCCUUUGGGUGGCGGCGGGAGUAGCGUGCCGGGAAGCAUGGCGGCCGCUCGAACGCCGCGCGGCGGAGGGCGUUAGGGCAUGGAGGGCCCGGGAAGGCGGCCUAGGGACGCAGGCAGGCUCGGCCGCCUCUUCAGGCCACGGAGCCGCCAGAUCUGGGUCCCGGGUGACCACUCUGUCGCCAUUGGGCGAGACCUACCUAGUCCUAACGACAACGGACAAAGGCCUUAACGGGCCUGGGAGGUGAGCGAAGUCCCGAACGACGACGGGUGGAACGGUUAGCGGCGAUCGGGCGGUUGGUCUCCGUACUACCAGACCUUGCUGUCGGAAGAGACAAAUGGUAGAAUGACAGGCCACGUUUGGCCCGUUGGAAAUGCCCUCCAUCCUCUGGGAAGAUUCACAGGCCGUUUACGGAAGGCCUGUGUAUAUAAUAUGAAAAAGCUGCUCUCAACUCCACCCCAACCUUUUAAUAGAAAACAUUUGUCACAUCUAGCCCUUCUAGAUGGAAAGAGGUUGCCGACGUAUGAUAGAGUUAGAAAGUCACACAUCUUGUAAAUUCUCAUUUGUUUAAAAGAAAUCAUAGAAAAUACAUGUCUUCCGGAGUUGACUUUUGGAAACUGAGUUGUUAGACGGCCUCUAGAAGCGAUACGUUCACGUUUGUUCAGUGGGUUAGAUGACAUGGAGCUCGAAGACCUGAGAAGGAAAAAAAGAAGGUUCUAUGCUAGACUGGUCAUAUUUAGAAGACAUUUUCAUAUUCUAUCCAUUGUUUUGUGUGCAUUCGCUUCCUCACUACUAUGUAUGUAGUUGACAAUGCUAAGCUUUUUUGAAAUGUCUAUUCUUUUUAGAUAUUCUGAAGUGUCUGAUAUAUGUUAAAAUUAGAGGUAGUAAAACCACAUUUUGUAAAUAUCUUUUUGUUACAAUUCAUAGAAAUGUUGUUUUUUGGGGGGAAUGGCCAAAUCACCUGUUGAGUAAUACUCAUUGUGUUUGUGCAGUAGUUCAGGGGAGGAGAGAGGAGGGGGAGGUGCAGAGAGCUCUAUGCCAUCCUGCUUACAGCGAGGCAAGAUGAAUCACUAUGUCUGUGCAUUUUGUUUUAUCUAUGUAUAUAAUGUACAUAAAGGACAAACGAGUCCUAAUUUACAACAUCUAGUCUUUCUGGAUGUUAAAGAGGUUGCCAGUGUAUAACAAAACUAGAGUUAGUAAACUAAUAUAUUUUGUACAUUUUGUUUUACAAGUCCUAGGAAAGACUGUCUUCUGAAAAUUUGAGCAUUCUUGCCCACUGGGUUGAUGGAGAUGGGAAGGGUUCUAGGCCAGAAUGUUCACAUUUGGAAGACUCUUUCAAAUUAUAACUGUUGUUACAUGUUUGCAGUUUAUUCGAGACUGCUGUGUACAUACAUAGUGGACAAAUUAACUCCUUACUUGAAACAUUUAGACUAUCUAGAUGUUUAGAAGUGCCCGAUGUAUAUUAAAUGUAGAGGUAGUAAAAUACCAAUUUGUAAAUAUCUUUUUGCUAAAAUUCAUAGGAAAUACUUUUGGAAGUUGAAUUGUGAAGCCACCUUUGUGAGCAGUAUAUUACUGUCUAUACUUGCUCAAUGGUUUAGAGGAGGUGGGAGGGAAGAAAUUGCAAAAGAUAAUAUGCUAGUGUGUUCAUACUUGGACAUUUUCAGACACCAUUUUUCUGUAUGUUUUGUGCAUUUUGUUUUGCUCUGUAUAUAGUGUAUAUAAUGGACAAAUAGUCUUAAUUUUUUAACAUCUAGAGGUUGCCAGUGUAUGACAAAGUAGUAAAAUUAGCAUAUUUUGUAUGCUUUGUGUUGAAAUUCAUAGGAAAACUUGUCUUCUGUAAUUGACUUUUGCAUAGGAAUUUGUUCAGCCAUCUCUAAGCAUUACACAUGCGUGUACUUGUCCACUGAAUUGAAGGCAGAGAAGGAAGAGAAGAGGGAAUGAUUCAAGGCCAAAAUGGUCACAUUUAGAAGAUACCUUAGAUGAUAACCAUUGUUAUGUGUGUGCAGUUUUAUUUAACAGUGCCGUGUACAUGGUGGACAGGCUAUGAAAUAUCUAGUCUUUAGAUAUUUGGAAGUGCUUGAUGUAUUUUAAAGUAGUAGUAGUAGAAUAACACUUUUUGUAAAUAGCUUUUAAAAACUGAUGGGAAAUGCUGUUUGGAAGUGGAUUUGUUGAACCACCUGGGAGGUGGGAGGGAAAAAAUUGCAAAAGGUGUUUUGCCAUUGUUUAUUAGAAAAUUUCAGCUUAAUCCAUUGCCUAUAUGUUACAAGCAUUUCAUUUAACUUUGCUAUACUGUAUAUAUUGUGUAUAUACUGGACAAAUGAGUCCUGAUUUUAUAAUAUCUAGUCUGUAGCUAUUAAAGAGGUUGCCAGUGUAUGACAAAAGUAGUUAGUAAACUAACGCAUUUUGUACACUUUGUUAAAAUUCAUAGAGAGGCUGUCUUCUGAAAAGGACUUUUUGGAAGUGAAAUGAUAACAUCAGCUCGAAGUGACACAUGUGCUUAUAUCCACCAGGUUGGUGGUGGAGAGGAGUUGGAAGGAAUGAAGGGUUCUAGACCAGAAUGUUCCUAUUUAGAAGACACUUUCAGAUAUAACCAUUGUUACAUGUGUGUAGUUUAUUCAACAGUGCUAUGUAUAUAGUGGACACACUUAAGUCCUUAUUUGAAAUAUCUAGUCUUUCUAGAUGUUUAGAAGUGCACAAAGCAUGUUAAAAGUAGAGGUAGUAAGUAACACAUUUUGUAGUUAUUUUGAUAUGAAAUAUUGUCUUGGAAAUUGAUCAAUUCUCUGAGAAGUACACGUUAUGAUAUUUGUGCUGGUUCAGGGGGAAGAAGGAGCACAAAGUUCAAAGGGCUUUCUACCAGUGUCCAGUGUGUUUAUGAUGAGGCACAUUGACCAUUGUCCCUUAUGUCUGCAUUUUCGUUUACUGUGCUGUGUAUAUAAGCAGACAUAGGAGUCCUAAUUUAUAUCUAGUCGAUGUUAAAGAGGUUGCCAGUGUAUGGCAAAAGUAGAGUUAGUAAACUAAUACAUUGAGUACACUUUGUGUUAAAAUUCAUAAGGAACACUUCUUAAAAACAGAAGUAAAAUUGUUAAACGCCCCCCGCCCCCAAGCAUUACAGAUGGCUUAUAGCUGUCAACGGGGUUGGUAGAGGUCAGAAAGGGAAGUGUUCUAGGCCAGAAUGUUCCUAUUUAGAAGACACUCAAAUUAUAGUCUAUGUUAUGUAUAUAUGCCAUUUAUUCAAUACUACUGUGUAUAUAAUGGAAAACUUAAGUGCAGUUUGAAACAUCUAGUCUUUCUAGGUGUUUAAAAGUGCACAAUGGUCAGGUGCGGUGGCUCACUCCUGUAAUCCUGGCACUUUGGGAGGCUGAGGUGGGCAGAUCACGAAGUCAAGGGAUCGAGACUAUCUUGGCCAACAUGGUGAAACCCCAUCUCUACAAAAAAUACAAAAAUUAGCUGGUCGUGGUGGCACAUGCCUGUAGUCCCAGCUACUCGGGAGGCUGAGGCAGGAGAAUCGCUUGAGCCCGGGAGACAGAGGUUGCAGUAAGCCGAGACCACACCACUGCACUCCAGCAUGGCGACAGAGCAAGACUCCAUCUCAAAAAAAAAAAAAAAAAAAAAUUCCACAACAUAGGUUAAAAGUAGAGGGCUAAAGUAACACCCCUCUAAGCAUUUGUUUUCAGUACUUCCUAGGAGUGGUUGCAUUUGGGAAUGGAAUUGUUAAAACUUGAUGCUUAGGAGCGUAUGCUGACUAUUCACUGCGUGGUGGGGUGGGGAGGAGGAGGAGGUAUGCAGGGAGAAGGGUUCUGUGCCCCUGAGUUAGAUUAGUUCAGAUGGUCUAACCAUUGUUCUAUGUAUGCAUUUUAUUGUGUUAAUAUUGUGUAUUAAAGGAUAAACAAGUCUUAAUGCUCAAAGUAUGUUAAAAAUAGAUGUAGUGAAUCAGUCCCUUUGUGAAUGUCCUAUUGUUAGUUUUUAGGAAGGCCUGUCUUCUGGGAGUGACCUUUAUUAGUCCACUUCUUGGAGCUAGACGUCCUAUACUUAGUCACUGGGGAUGGUGAAAGAGGGAGAAGAGGAAGGGCGAAGGGAAGGGCUCUUUGCUAGUAUCUCCAUUUCUAGAAGAUGGUUUUAGAUGAUAACCACAGGUCUAUAUGAGCAUUUUUAGUAAAGUGCCUGUGUUUAUUGUGGACAGAGUUUAUUAUUUUGCAACAUCUAACCUUUAUGAAUAUCUGAGGUGACAAUGUGUGAUAAAAACUAGAGCUAGUGGGCCAGGCGCGGUGGCUCAUGCCUGUAAUCCCAACAUUUUGGGAGGCUGAGGCAGGCAGAUCACAAGGUCAAGAGAUCGAGACCAUCCUGGUCAACAUGGUGAAACCCCAUCUCUACUAAAAAUACAAAAAUUAGCUGGGCGUGGUGGCGCGUGCCUGUAGUCCCAGCUUCUCAGGAGGCUGAGGCAGGAGAAUCACUUGAACCUGGGAGGCGGAGGUUGCAGUGAGCCAAUAUUGCGCCACUGCACUCCAGCCUGGGCAACACAGCAAGACUCCAUCUC
rnacentral:lncRNA from 1 species